GAAAGCAUGUUUAUAAUUUCUACUUUAGAUGCUACUCUACAAAAGAAAUAGCACCAGUUUUGUUCAGCUUUUCCUCCUGUGGAAUCCAGCACAUGAGAGAAUAACUUAUGCGACCUCAAAUCUCCAGGUCCACUGCCCUGAUUCACCCUCACAUUGUCUCAAGCAGGGGAGUGAAUUCCCCAGAAUCAGGACAAAUCCUAGCUCCGUGCCAACUGGUUAGACUCUGGUUUGCUACAUGAGACGCUUUGGUCUGGAAGGAGCCCAAGCCUGGUACACUGCUCCCGCAGGAAACUAGGACCCAGCAGUGGCCACCUGCUUCACCACGCAGUUUCCCAGAAGGCCAGUGGUGCUGCACCCUGUGAUCCCCGCACUCAGGAGCCUAAGGGCACUGCAGAGGCUGAAGCAGGAGAAUCACUAUGAAUUCAAGCCCAGCCAGAGCUACACAGCAAGACCUUGUUUCAAAAAGCAAAGCAAAACAAAAUUAAUUAACCAACUCAGUGGCAGAGGCCCUGCAUGAAUGCACUCCACAUGGCAUAAGCUUUGACCUCACGACUCUGGACCCUUCUGACUGGGGGAUGACUGUUAGUCCUGACUCGGCAACUCCACUUUCUGGAAAAACCUCCCCUGAAAAGUAAUAAAUAAAGAACACUAGCAAAUGCCUGACCUAAAAAUAAGGACGUUAAUUUCUGCUUAGCAAAGAAAUGGUAAAAGAAAGAAAUCCCAGUGAAUAAGAGAUUAAAUAAUAAAGCAUAGACCUCUUGUACAAUGAAUCACUGCACCGUUAUGAAAUGAACACAAUAGCUAGGCCUGGAGGGGCAUGCCUGUAAUCUCAGGACUGGGGAGGCUGAGGCAGCAGGGUUGUUUUGAG